rnacentral:rRNA from 1 species
UACGUAGGGUGCAAGCGUUAAUCGGAAUUACUGGGCGUAAAGCGUGCGCAGGCGGCUUUGCAAGACAGAUGUGAAAUCCCCGGGCUCAACCUGGGAACUGCAUUUGUGACUGCAUGGCUGGAGUGCGGCAGAGGGGGAUGGAAUUCCGCGUGUAGCAGUGAAAUGCGUAGAUAUGCGGAGGAACACCGAUGGCGAAGGCAAUCCCCUGGGCCUGCACUGACGCUCAGGCGCGAAAGCUAGGGGAGCGAACAGG